UACGUAGGGCGCAAGCGUUGUCCGGAAUCACUGGGCGUAAAGGGUGCGUAGGCGGGUCUUUAAGUCAGGGGUGAAAUCCUGGAGCUCAACUCCAGAACUGCCUUUGAUACUGAAGAUCUUGAGUUCGGGAGAGGUGAGUGGAACUGCGAGAGUAGAGGUGAAAUUCGUAGAUAUUCGCAAGAACACCAGUGGCGAAGGCGGCUCACUGGCCCGAUACUGACGCUGAGGCACGAAAGCGUGGGGAGCAAACAGG
rnacentral:rRNA from 1 species